CUCCCUACCGCCGCUCCCCCUCUCUACCUAUCCUCGCUCUCUCCCACUCCUCCUUCUCUCUUUCUUCAACACAAAGCAAAACCCUAUAAAUAGUGGCGGGUUGAAUCGUUUGAGGACAAGUUUCCAGUGGUCAAAAAUCCCUUGAAAAUUAAAGUUUGGGGAACAGAUCUAAAAAAAAAAAAACUGUUUAAGUCUUCAGUGGCUAAAAUCCUCUAAAAAAGAGUUUCCGGUGGUCAAAGAAUCCCUUGAAAAUAGUUCUGGAAUCGCAAGAAUCCCCCUACAAAAUACAAGUGUUUAAUCGCUCAAGUCCCCUUUUAAAAAACACUAGUUUUAAUUUUAUUGAUAUCGUCUCAAGACGCUAAAUCCUGUUCUGUUUUUUUUUUUUUACCUCAGCAUUUGUUCGAAUCUGAGUGCUCGAGAGCUCGGAGUUUGUUUGUUUCGAGGCAGUUCGGAGAUUCGACGCCUCACUUCGCUGCACCCGAAGAAGGUUUGGGCUUGGGAGCGAAUUAUACCGAUGCAGCCACCACCCAGGGCCCUUCAGCGACACACGACUCUUGCACGAAAGUGGACUUAUCGUAAAGCUCGCGAAAAUGAGGCACGUGUUGUGCUACCCAUAUGUAGGGAUGUAUUGGACAACCUAACAGAUGGUCAGUUUGUGUGGCAGCCUUAUUCAGAGGCCAUCAUUAAUGGACUCCCUGAGUGGUGUCGGCAUGGACGAGUUAUUUGGGUGGCGCAGGUUCGGUAGGAAGCAACAUAUUCCGGGACCAUGUGCUGAGAUUGAUCUGUUUCAUUACAAAUGUGACAAGCGGUAUGCUAUAACAGUGGAGGAUCAACAAAAGUUUACACAAACGGAAUUUUUGUGGGAAAAUCGUUGACAAGCGGUAUGCUAUAACAGUGGAGGAUCAACAAAAUUUUACACAAACUGAAUUUUUGUGGGAAAAUCCUCGACAAAGGGUAAUUCUGGCUGAGUAUGAAACUCAAGACCCAGAGUCAUUAUCUGAGUAUUUUUGUUGGUAUCGACGUCACUCGCGCACUUUCAUAGGAAAUCUUGCGCAUAAAGUGGAUAGAGGAUACCAACACAUGGCAGGCAGGCAUGAGGCACUGGCUUUAGGACAUCAAGAAUCGUACAGGUUGGCUCAGCAGACUAUCCAAGAUCCAACCAAGUCUAAUGAAGUGAAGGAAAUAGCAGAGAUGUUUAGCCACAUUAAUACAGAGUCCAUGGCUGCUGCCUCUCUGGGGACGAUGUUGAGUUUCGCUCCCAAUUAUACACCACCAGCAGAGUAUGUUGAGCCGCCUACUGUGCAAGUGCCUCGUCAUCAACGUCCUAAUGUACCAAGACCUGCGGCGCGUGGUAGAGGACGCUAAUCAGGUAACAGACGGGGUCGAGGUCCCGUGGAUCACCAGUUGGUUGAUGAGGAAGAGGUUUGUUUUGAUCAAGAUAUGCCCAGCUCAACGAUGCCUGCAGCUGAUGAUGCAUAUUACCCAAUAAUAGAUUUUAUUUCCAGCUCAUCGACGUCUGCUCCCGAGGUUCAAUCACCAGCGGUAAUCAGAAGUGAGGGGCCUUUUCAGGCAUUCACAUCGUAUGAGCCUAUUAGCCUCGCAGUUAUGGCCCAACAGUUUGGUGUUCAGACAAACAGCUCUUAUGGGAUGACUGAGGGGCCUUGCAUUCACUGCACAGAGCUCUUCAAUUGGGAGGAGACUGAGUUUUACCGACGAUGCGGGUGUGAUACAAGAGGAGGUUCACCAACGUAGAUCAAAACGAGAGCGCCGGCAAACUCGGUGUGGCACGGAGGGGGGGGAAGGGACACUGUAAAAAUUAAAUUUUUUAUUAAUUAUUGAAUU